rnacentral:rRNA from 1 species
UACGUAGGGUGCGAGCGUUAAUCGGAAUUACUGGGCGUAAAGCGUGCGCAGGCGGUUCGUUAAGUCAGAUGUGAAAGCCCCGGGCUCAACCUGGGAACUGCAUUUGAAACUGGCGGGCUUGAGUGCGGUAGAGGGGGGUGGAAUUCCGCGUGUAGCAGUGAAAUGCGCAGAUAUCAGGAGGAACACCGGUGGCGAAGGCGGGUCUCUGGGCCGAAACUGACGCUGAGGAGCGAAAGCGUGGGGAGCAAACAGG